GCAUAAUUUAGUAUUGAGAGAUGCUAUGGUGCCGAAAGAAAGAUCCUUCAGCAGCUACGGAGAGUGCAUGUCACAUGGUGAUGGCUACACGUGUCUCGUUAAAGUGUUCAUCAUGGUUCGAGGCGCUGCAGUUGAAAGCAGGCAGUUCAAGAGAGGAUUUCAAGGUUCAGAAGGUUUGUGUCAGACUCUCUUAUUAACAACGAGAUUAAGAAAUAAAUAUUUGUGUCAGACUCUCUUUUUCAUGGUCCAGUUAGUCCUUAUUGUUGACAUAUUGGUGUCCAGGUCCAUAUUGCAAAUAAAUAAAUAUUAUAAUUACUUUGUUAACAUAAAUUGAUUAGCAUUGCUUAAUGCAAUAUUUUACUGAAAUCUACGUCACAUCUCUUCUGAAGUGCGAGACCUACGUCUGAACCCUCCAAGUACAUGCUGCAGCUAUGGGAAAGCUACUCACGCAUCAACAACACACUCCAACUUGACACGUUUUCACCAGCAUGUGCAGAGGAAUCUAUGCCUCAGCACCAGAGAAUUUUCCUUUAGUAUUUGGUAUUAAUGAAAUGACAAACUUAAAGGGGUGAAGAAAAAGCUAAAGAAAUUGAAAAAGAAGCUUAAAGCCUCGACUGUCUUUGCAUGCAGUGAGCUCUGUACUGGUUCACUUUCAUCGUUUCCUGGGACAGAACUUCCCCACCAGGUUCUCAUCGGUUUUGUUCAACGGUGAAGGAGUUCCGCGCCAACAAAAGUUUCCAAAGGAGGUUUGUGUCUCUUAAGAUGUCAUUGGCAAAUUGGGACCUGUUCCAUACCGCCAUGGACUUCGAGCAGAAAAACACCGCGUGCAAUGUGGUUUCUGGCUUUGUCAAGCAUCUUAGGCCAAAGGGAUCAAUGUUGGAGAUUCUGUUAUGCAUCUUCUCCAGCACUGCUAUACCCUCAUGGACUAAUCUCUAUAUGAAGUUUCGAAUUUUCGGCUGACACUAUAUAUUCUAGAUUUGUUGCCAUAAGUCUUUCAUUUGAAAUCGGGGGUUUAAACUUUCUAUCGGCAAAUGAUAGAACUAGUAUGCAAUCAAGUACCCUGAAUUCAUUGAGUGUUGCCCUGUUUUGUCAUUCACCCAAACAAUUGAUUCCCCUCUUUGUUCAAUUGAGAUUUUGCAGAUUUGUGCUACAAUUUCUGCAUUAAAAUUUUCCUGUAAUAGCUCCAUGUUCCACUCGCCAGUAUCUGUUAUCAGCUGCUGGACCCAAUGCAUUUCAAGAUUUUGUUCUGCUGCUGCUGGGAACCUGAAAAGGAGUUGGUCUCCGAACCACGAGUCUUUUCUUAUUCUGGUGGAGCCAUGGGUAGUGACACUGAAUCUAACGCCUUUCCCUAGAACCUUUCUGUCCUCCAAGAGAUUCCGUCAAGCCCAAAAAGGUCUGAAUCCAGGCUUUGCUUCCGAGAAAAAGGUAUAUCGAAAAUAUUUAUUUUUGUAGAUUUUAUAUACCAGUGAAUGUGUUCUUGUUAGAAGUUUUUAUCCUUGUUUGGCUAGCAUUGAUAAG